GAGUUUGAUCCUGGCUCAGAACGAACGCUGGCGGCGUGCCUAACACAUGCAAGUCGAACGUGAUCCAGAGCUUGCUCUGGUGAAAGUGGCGCACGGGUGAGUAACGCGUGGAUAACCUACCCUGGUAUCCGGGAUAACAUUCCGAAAGGGGUGCUAAUACCGGAUAAGCCCACGGGCUCUUUGGAACUUGCGGGAAAAGGUGGCCUCUAUUUAUAAGCUACUGUAUCAGGAUGGGUCCGCGUACCAUUAGCUAGUUGGCGGUGUAACGGACCACCAAGGCGACGAUGGUUAGCUGGUCUGAGAGGAUGAUCAGCCACACUGGAACUGAGACACGGUCCAGACUCCUACGGGAGGCAGCAGUGGGGAAUUUUGCGCAAUGGGGGAAACCCUGACGCAGCAACGCCGCGUGAGUGAUGAAGGCCUUUGGGUCGUAAAGCUCUGUCAGAGGGGAAGAAAUGAUAUAGUGCUAAUACCACUUUAUCUUGACGGUACCCUCAAAGGAAGCACCGGCUAACUCCGUGCCAGCAGCCGCGGUAAUAC
rnacentral:rRNA from 1 species